GCUAAGACUGGAUAGGAAGAUAAAAGGCAUCUUUUAUCUUUUAAAAGACCUAGUAAUAGGUAUGCUUUAGGAGGGGCUUGCGCCAUAUUAUUUAGUUGGUAGGGUAAUGGCCUACCAAGACGAUGAUGUGUACUGGACUGAGAGGUUGAACAGCCACAUUGGGACUGAGACACGGCCCAAACUCCUACGGGAGGCAGCAGUACGGAAUUUUCGGCAAUGGAGGAAACUCUGACCGAGCACCGCCGCGUGAAUGACCAAGUACUUCGGUAUGUAAAGUUCUUUUAUCUAGGAAGAAAAGCAAAUGGCGAACCAUUUGUUUGCCGGUACUUGAUGAAUAAGCCCCGGCUAAUUAUGUGCCAGCAGCCGCGGUAAGACAUAAGGGGCAAGUGUUAUCCGGAAUUAUUGGGCGUAAAGGGUGCGUAGGCGGUCUAGUAAGUCAGUGGUGUAAUGGCAACGCUUAACGUUGUCCGGCUAUUGAAACUGCUAAACUUGAGUUAGAUAGAGGCGAGUGGAAUUCCAUGUGUAGCGGUAAAAUGCGUAAAUAUAUGGAGGAACACCAGAGGCGUAGGCGGCUCGCUGGGUCUUAACUGACGCUGAGGCACGAAAGCGUGGGGAGCAAACAGGAUUAGAUACCCUGGUAGUCCACGCCGUAAACGAUGAGUACUAAGUGUCGGGUUAAACCGGUACUGAAGUUAACACAUUAAGUACUCCGCCUGAGUAGUACGUACGCAAGUAUGAAACUUAAAGGAAUUGACGGGACUCCGCACAAGCGGUGGAUCAUGUUGUUUAAUUCGAAGAUACCCGAAAAACCUUACCAGGUCUUGACAUGUUUUUGCAAAAUGAUAGUAAUAUCGUGGAGGUUACCAGAAACACAGGUGGUGCAUGGUUGUCGUCAGCUCGUGUCGUGAGAUGUUAGGUUAAGUCCUAAAACGAGCGAAACCCUUAUCGUUAGUUGCCAGCACGUUAUGGUGGGGACUUUAACGAGACUGCCAAUGAUAAAUUGGAGGAAGGUGAGGAUCACGUCAAAUCAGCAUGCCCCUUAUGACCUGGGCUACAAACGUGAUACAAUGGCUGUUACAAAGGGUAGCUGAAACGCAAGUUCUUGGCCAAUCCCCAAAAACAGUCCCAGUCCGGAUUGAAGUCUGCAACUCGACUUCAUGAAGUUGGAAUCGCUAGUAAUCGCGAAUCAGCAUGUCGCGGUGAAUACGUUCUCGGGGUUUGUACACACCGCCCGUCAA
rnacentral:rRNA from 1 species